rnacentral:rRNA from 1 species
UACGGAGGGGACGAGCGUUGUCCGAAUUUACUGGGCGUAAAGCGCGCGUAGGCGGGUUGGCAAGUCUGCUGUGAAAGCCCGGGGCUUAACCCCGGAGGGUCGGUGGAUACUGCCAGUCUUGAAGGUGCUAGGGGGAGAUGGAAUUACCGGUGUAGCGGUGAAAUGCGUAGAUAUCGGUAGGAACACCAGUGGCGAAGGCGGUCUCCUGGGGCACUCUUGACGCUGAGGCGCGAAAGCUGGGGGAGCGAACGGG